GCUCAACGCCGCCCUGUGCUCAGCGGUCUGCGCAGAGGCUGCUCGGCAGCCAGGUGGACGUGUGCUCACCGAGGCGGCUCGUCAGGGCCAGAAGAGGCGCCGGGUCAGGGCGGCCCCAGGUGGAUCGCUGCUGCGUCCUGACGUCCACUGCUCAUCAGCUUUGGGGUCUGUGUCCCGCUCGGCCCGCUCGGCCCUGGAGUCCCGCUGUCCCCAGGCGUCCAGGACUUGUCUGGUUUCCUAGUCAUGGACUUACAUAAAAUGAUGUUCACUGUUACUUGCGUAAUUAUUUUGCUUGUGAUCCUUGGAGUGAUCCUCGCAGCAACGUUGUCUUAGCAACCACAUCCCAGAAUUGUCACCCGUCACAGGCCACGCCCCCGCAGCAUCGGUGGAUGGAGCCCAGUGGGCGUCAGGGUGUGGACCCCAGGCCCACGUGCUAAGCCCCGGAUGCCGGGCUCAGGAGCCUCAUGGAGGCCCUGGCAUCGGGAGUGACUGCCGAUGUCACUUCGAGAAACUGUCCAGUGUUAAGAGUGUGCACGUGGAAUUAGGGCCCUGCUGUGAGGCUAUGAAAUGGAGGCAGGUCCAGCGCAGCUAACACCUGCUGAUGAAGAGACGGUUGGUCAUAGCGUCAUCGUGUGUGUGUCCUCCUGGCGGAAAUAAUUCUCAUUACCCCAGAGCUGUUUUGUGCAAUAUCUGUAAUUUUAGAUGUUUAUAAAUUAAUGAAUAUUCUGACACAUUCACUCCACUUUGCAUGCUAAGUGCUGGCUUGUGAAGGGGCUGGGCGGCUGCGCAGUUUGCCAGCCUCGGGAGCCAUGGGUUGGGGCCCUGCGCCCUCCUCUUCUGUGGAUGCUGACUGAGGAAGGCCCGGCUCCUCAGGGAGGGCAGCUCAUUUCUACCUUCUCCCUUACCCAGUGAUAAAUAAUUAGUUACUGCACUGUAAAGACAAUGGUCUGUUCUUUGAUCAUGAAAAAUAGGGCUUGUAGCUGACCUGGUGCCACAUCCUUGUAGUGCCAGAACCCUGGGGGCAGAGGCAGGAGGAUCGAAAGUUUGAGCCCAACCUGGGCAACUUAGUGACUUAGCAAGAUCCUGUCUCAAAGCAAAAAGGCUGUGGCUCCGUGCGAAGGCCCUGGGUUCAUCCCCAGGACCGCGUUCUCUGCACGCUGACAAAGUCUGGAUUUCAGGUGGUGGUGGAGAGUGUUAGUGGUCUCUAAACUUGAAGUUAUUCCUAGGCAUUAAGGAAUUCUUAGAAAUUGUUGUGCAGGUCUCUUAAAUGUUCUUAUGUAUCUAAUACUUUGCUGAACUCUAAAAUUUAAUUCCCAGUUGGGCAUGGCAUCACAUGCAUGUGGUCCCAGCACUCAGGAGACUGAGGCAGGAAGAUCACCACAAGUUCAAGGCCAGCCUGAGCUGCAUAGCGCGACGAGACCAUCGCAAAAAUCAAAAAAAAAAAAAAAACCCCAAUACAAAAGAACCUAAUUCCCAAAGUUUAUAAGAAUGUAUGAUGCUUAAACAUUUUUAUUGCUUGUUACUGUUUGGAAUACAACGAUAGUGUUCUCAGGCUUUCGACUGCACCAGGCUGAGAAUCAGCCCGAGGCCGAGGUUACGUGGUCACUUGGAGGCCGUCAGCGUCACUGGCUCUCAGCUCCCACCCGUGCGUGGCCCAGGGCUGAGUCUCGGCACUGCCUGGCGCGACGUGGACGUGCUGAGCCCGGGCCCUGGGCUGCAGGAUGCCCAGCAGUGUGGGCGCCGUGUCCUGUCCCCCGUUUUGAAGGUCCUGGUUGAGGCUGCCAGGCUGUCUUUCUGCCCAGCCCUGGAGGACUCACUGCCUGCCCUGCUCCUCAGUCCCCACGUGGCCCCGAGAGCGUCCGAGUCCUGUCAGGGUCUCCACUGUGCUCGGAAUCAGGGCUCACAGAACAGACUCCAGACUCACUAUCACUUUAGUCAUCACUUCUGAUUUUCUGUGCUUGGAUUAAAAAUGUUCCCAGUGGAACAGAAAGG
rnacentral:lncRNA from 1 species